GACCCUGUAGCUCAGUGGAUAGAGCGACUGCCUUCUAAGCAGUAAGUCGUGGGUUCGAAUCCCUCCAGGGUCGCCA
rnacentral:tRNA from 4 species